GACCCAGACCGGCGGAUGCCUGGGCUCGGGCCUCGAGGAAGGACGCGGCGGACAGCGAGAUGCGGUGCAGCCCGGCACGAAGCACCGGUUUCCGAACGCUCGGCCUCCCCCGGGAG
rfam:G.ardeae genes for 5.8S rRNA, LST rRNA and SST rRNA